rnacentral:lncRNA from 10 species
GUGCAUGCUGGCCUCGGAGGAGGAGAGGGCAGCUGGGAUACCUCUGCGAGUUUCCCUCAGCACUCCGAGAGCCGCGGAAGGCGCAAACUGCUCUUGUGACCUCCCCAGUAAGCUGCGCCUCUGCCGUGCCUUCUCCUUGCUUGCUGUGUUCCGCGGUCUGGCCCGCAUCACCCCGCUGCCCUGAGCCGAGCCUGCCCUCGGCCCGUUCACCAACUGUUAAACCAGGGUCCUGAGUCUACAGGUUCUAGGUUUGGCUUCACCCCUGAGAGCAGUGUCCCAUGCAGCAGGCUCAGUGCUCCUCUCCGCGGAGCCUUCCUUUGGUGUCUUGGCGCCUCUCUCACAAGAAGCCAGCGCUGUUUGUUGGCAACAAGAUUCUUUGCCACUCAGAAACAAUCAAGAUUCCUCCUCCAGGGCACGAAUGGACUUGACUGUCUUUGCCUGGUGAACUGCCAUCCAGGAUCCCCCACCCACACAUUUUUGACCAUUCAAAAAUGAGCUGAGAGCCCUAGGAGAGUGCCAGGAAGGCCUAGCAAAACAGGAGGACGGUAAGAGAAGCGGUCCCACAUACAGUGGGAGUGUACCAUUAUCAUUUAGGCCUCUGGACACCACCGGAGUCCUCACUUUCUUCAGCGUAAUUUUGAGCCUCUGACGGGAAAUCUCAAUUCCAAAUUCCCAGAAGACGGCGUUGGUAAGAAAGGAGUGCUGGAUGAAGACUGUGGACCCAGGAGCUCCUUCACCAAAGGCGGCCCCAUCACCAGCUCAUACAGCCCUGCUGGUGGUGUUCUGCGCAUUUGCAGAGUGAUCCAGGUGCAGCAGGGCUCUCUGCCUAUGGCAUCGUGCUGCCUGCUGCUCAAGAGAUGGGCACAGGAAGUGCUAGAAGCGGCCAUGGGUCCAGCUCCCCAGCCUUGCUGAGCCAGGGAAGAAGAUGCAGAGAAAAAGCUUCCAAAGACACGGUCAAGGUAAAAACCCUCAGAGAUGAUUAUGAAGAUCUCUAUGCAUACAAACUAGAAAACCUAGAAGAAAUGGAUAAAUUCCUGGAAACAUAAAACCUCCCAAGUUUGAACCAGGAAGAAAUUGAAACCCUAAACAAAGACUCCAUCAAGGAAGAAUUCUCCACCCACAUCUUGAGUUGAAGGCCUUGUAAAUGGAAAAUGUCAAGGCUGUUAAUGCUGCCCGGGCUGCUGCUGUCUGCCACUGCUCCUUUGCCCUGGAAAGGCCAACUCUACAGAAAGCAAAUCUGCCCUGGGGGACCGUUUUCUUCCUGCUUAUGGUCAGAAGCCCCUUCCCUAUCAUUCAAAGCAUACCAGUUACUAUGGGAGAAGACAAUAACACUAAGAAAAAACAGGUGCCAGAGGAGACAAUGCUGUUUCUCCUUGUCGCAGAUCACUGGGGACAUUUGUGAUCAGAGCACAUCUACAGCUAGAAGGGACACCACCAUACCGGUAUUUGGAAAUACUUAUCUUCCCACUUUUUGUUGGAAUACCUGGGGAUCCCUGGCUAAUGCCUGAGUAGAACAUAUCUGACAGUGUACCUAUGCUUGAAGGUACCACUAUUCUUGCGUACACUUAGAGCACCCGGGGCUCACCUAUCCAGAGCACAGGUAGUGAAUAGGAACAGUCAGCACCACACCUGUGCUGGGAGAUACUACUGUUCCCGGCAACAUUCAGAGCAUGUGGAGAGCUUAUGGCCAGAGCACAUCUGUUGCAGUCAUAGGAGAAAAUGCCCUACAGUUUUAGGGGAUUCUUCUAGUCUCACCUAGGUCAGAACAUCGGGAGCUCACCCACCCAAUGUACCCUCUUUGACUUUGGAGGAGCCAGCACCACUGAGAAAAAUACCUAUGUGUGGAGACAUUUUUGCCACUACCUUUGGUCAGAGCAACUGUGCUUCCUGUGUACACAAGCAAGAAUCAACCUUGCUUUUAGGUUACCCUUGUCGUCUACCCAAGGCUUAACUGGAGACAAAUGUUGGGCCACAAACCCAUUCAUUAUCUUCCAGUAGAAGACCCAGGAUCUCAGCAAUUAAGGGAAAACUUCUACAAGCAGCAGGUCACCACAGUUCCCCAUAAAUGGACCUUACUCUGCUGAAGAGAGGCUCAAUCUCUUCUACUUGUGUCAAAUAAACUUCAGUUGCUCUCUGUCUUCCUCCAUCAAGCUGAAGGCUCACACCUGUGUGUGUGUGUGUUUUAGAGAUGUGAGACAGAUGAGGCUGGUCAAAUGUCAACAUACUGAACUUAAGGAGUACAACUGUGGAGAGUAGAAGAGUGAUCUGCACACAUUGUCAAUGGUGCCAUCCCUGGCUUUCACUGUUGGUCUGGCAGACCCUUCUCUGGAACAGUUUUCUUCUGGUCUUGGAACUGGCAGGAUGCCCACAGCUGCCUACAGCUGUCUCUUUUCCACUUGCCUCAAUGAGCUCUUAUCUUUCUUUUCACCAUUAAAAAUCAUAAAUCUUUUUUUUUUCUGUUAAUUUGUCCUGUGCUCACAAGUCUUUUACUCUGUGACUCAACUGUGAAGGAAGAAUUGACUUGUAUUAAGUGGUGACAUGUUGAGCCAGACUUAAAUGCGCAACAUUUUCUACAGUCCAGUGAAUAAGAUGUGGAAUUAAUCAUGCUUAAUCACUGCACACGGUGACUUCUGCAGUCUCUGUGUUUUGAGUGUAAAGAUGGUGACCCAAGAGGAAGGAAGAUCCAGAGAAGGGAGAGACAGUGUGAGUGGCCCUUGCCUCUCCUCUCUGGGCUUCUCUUCCACCAUCUGACCUCACUGAAAGCCAGCCUAUCCCCAACUCUAAACCACACUUUACAAUUUUAGUUGUCGUAAAUAUUUACAUGUUCUUUUUGUGCUGUUUUCAUUAAUUAAACUUAGGCCAAUCCCCACACAUUUCCAUUUCAACCAGAGAGUAUAGAUUUGGCAUCCAUGCUCUUGAGCCUGGAAGUGUGAGGAAAGAAAAAGUUCACAUCUGCUCUGCAGUUAUUGAGAUUUUUAAGUCUAGGAUGUAACAUAUUACUUGACACUCUCAUCAUGAUGCUUAAAAUAUCAGGAACUACCUGGACGUGGCCUAUUUGGAAAAAUAACCUGUCUGGCUCUAGUCCAAACCACUGAAAUAUCAAAUUGCAAAAGUUACAAUUUCACCCAGAUUCAGCUGACCCUAGAGUUCCACUGUCUCCACUAGACUUAGUUGCUGAAAAUGCAAUCUUUUCUAAUACAGUUUACAACCCAGGAAAACCACUUUAAGAUGGGGGAAAGAGAAAAUUACCUCUUACCCCAGAGGAAUUUACAAGCUAGUGUGGGAGACAGAUGAAUAAACCAAAAAUUACAACUGGAGAGGCAAAUGUUAGGGUGAUGGGAGCGGGUAAGAAGGACACAAAACUACGUUUGGGAAAUGACUUCUGUUCUGUGCCAGAGAGGAGAUGGUGGCAUGCAUUUAAAAACUCCAGGUGCCCUUAAAGUGGUUGUAUAAGGAGAGGCCUUGAAUUAACUCCAGAAAUGUUCUGCACAAAACUCUGAGAUAUCAUAUAGCUUCUCCCAAUCUUUCCUUCCUUACCUGCAAAAUGUAAAAAUACUCGCUGCCUCCUAAAGCAGGUAGAAGACAUGCAUGUGAUUUGGGAGAUGUAAAAUACACAAGAUAAUAAAUCAGAGAGGCUGAGUUUAAAUACUGCCUGUAGCACUCAAUAGUUGUGUGAUCCUGGUGAGGUACUUAAUCUUUCUACAAAAUAGAACUAAUAAUAGUGACAAAUUUAUUAAAUUCUGAGAAUUAAAAUAAUUAUAAUACAUUAGGCAUUUAAAACACUGCUUGGUACACAGAAGGUGAAAUAUAGGGGUUUGUCACUUAUUUCAAAAUGUUAAUUAUUUAUAGAAUUACUAACAUAUGUUUUAUUAAUAUAUAAUCCCUUCAAGAUUGGUAUUAUGGUACUGUAAGCCUGAGAUCCUAGUAAAGAUUUAAUCAGCUAGUCUGAGAAUGUUUUGGGGGGAAAUGAAUUGUUGAUCUUUAUCACUUUCUUUUCUAUAAUUACCAACUCUGUUUGACUCUCCAGGGAGCAGAAUAAUUAAGAUUGUUAAGAGGAAUCAGGGAGCUAAAUAUUAUUGCACUUUGAAAUACUUCUCUGAUACGGAGAAUUCCUCCUCCAGUUGAGUUUGUACACACAAUUUGAGAGAAGCCUACCUGCAUAUAUGCCUGAAAUGGCACCCAAUUUUGUAUCCUGAGGCCUCAGGGAUGGGGCACCCACAGUGUAGAAGUUGGAGCAGUAGGAGUAAAUUUAGUUUUUCUUCUACAGGAGGUGCUUGUCAACAGAGCUACAUGCUUUUCACUGAAAGGUUAAGGGCAGACAGAUUUGACAGAACAGAGGGGUUCCACAUUAAAGGCUUCGAGUAGAAAUGUCUGUCACUUCCCUCAAUAGUUACCAGUAGCCAUAUGGUGCUGCAGUGACAGGUCUGGGAAUUUCAGAGCAAGUUGUAGGCUGCACUUGAGGAGCCUUCUGGGGUCAGUGGAUGGGGGACAGGUUAAAGGAAAAUAACAACUUUUACUUUUAUUCAAUAAAUG